GAAUAUUGGACAAUGGGCGGAAGCCUGAUCCAGCAACGCCGCGUGAGGGAUGACGGCCUUCGGGUUGUAAACCUCUUUCACCUAUGACGAAGCGCAAGUGACGGUAAUAGGAGAAGAAGGACCGGCCAACUACGUGCCAGCAGCCGCGGUAAUACGUAGGGUCCGAGCGUUGUCCGGAAUUAUUGGGCGUAAAGGGCUCGUAGGCGGUUUGUCGCGUCGGGAGUGAAAACAGCGGGCUUAACUCGUUGCUUGCUUUCGAUACGGGCAGACUAGAGGUAUGCAGGGGAGAAUGGAAUUCCUGGUGUAGCGGUGAAAUGCGCAGAUAUCAGGAGGAACACCGGUGGCGAAGGCGGUUCUCUGGGCAUUACCUGACGCUGAGGAGCGAAAGUGUGGGGAGCGAACAG
rnacentral:rRNA from 1 species